rnacentral:rRNA from 1 species
GACGAACGCUGGCGGCGUGCCUAAUACAUGCAAGUCGAGCGGACUUGACAGAGCUUGCUCUGUUCAAGUUAGCGGCGGACGGGUGAGUAACACGUGGACAACCUGCCCUGCAGAUUGGGAUAACUCCGGGAAACCGGGGCUAAUACCGAAUAACAUUGAAAACCUCAUGGUUUUCUUUUAAAAGGCGGCUUCGGCUUUCACUGAAGGAUGGGCCCGCGGCGCAGUAGCUAGUUGGUGAGGUAACGGCUCACCAAGGCGACGAUGCGUAGCCGACCUGAGAGGGUGAUCGGCCACACUGGGACUGAGACACGGCCCAGACUCCUACGGGAGGCAGCAGUAGGGAAUCUUCCGCAAUGGACGAAAGUCUGACGGAGCAACGCCGCGUGAGUGAAGAAGGUUUUCGGAUCGUAAAACUCUGUUGUUAGGGAAGAACAAGUACCGGAGUAACUGCCGGUACCUUGACGGUACCUGACCAGAAAGCCACGGCUAACUACGUGCCAGCCGCCGCAGUAACAC